rnacentral:rRNA from 1 species
CCUACGGGAGGCAGCAGUGAGGCAUAUUGGUCAAUGGCCGCAGGGCUGAACCAGCCAAGUCGCGUGAGGGAUGACGGUCCUAUGGAUUGUAAACCUCUUUUGUCAGGGAGCAAAGGGCGCCACGUGUGGCGCUUUGCGAGUACCUGACGAACAAGCAUCGGCUAACUCCGUGCCAGCAGCCGCGGUAAUACGGAGGAUGCAAGCGUUAUCCGGAUUUAUUGGGUUUAAAGGGUGCGCAGGCGGAAUGUCAAGUCAGCGGUAAAAUUUCGGGGCUCAACCCCGUCGUGCCGUUGAAACUGGCGUUCUUGAGUGAGCGAGAAGUAUGCGGAAUGCGUGGUGUAGCGGUGAAAUGCAUAGAUAUCACGCAGAACUCCGAUUGCGAAGGCAGCAUACCGGCGUUCAACUGACGCUCAUGCACGAAAGCGUGGGUAUCGAACAGGAUUAGAUACCCGAGUAGUC